UUUGAUCCUGGCUCAGAUUGAACGCUGGCGGCAGGCUUAACACAUGCAAGUCGAGCGGAGAUGAGGUGCUUGCACCUUAUCUUAGCGGCGGACGGGUGAGUAAUGCUUAGGAAUCUGCCAUUUAGUGGGGGACAACAUUUCGAAAGGGAUGCUAAUACCGCAUACGUCCUACGGGAGAAAGCAGGGGAUCUUCGGACCUUGCGCUAAAUGAUGAGCCUAAGUCGGAUUAGCUAGUUGGUGGGGUAAAGGCCUACCAAGGCGACGAUCUGUAGCGGGUCUGAGAGGAUGAUCCGCCACACUGGGACUGAGACACGGCCCAGACUCCUACGGGAGGCAGCAGUGGGGAAUAUUGGACAAUGGGCGGAAGCCUGAUCCAGCCAUGCCGCGUGUGUGAAGAAGGCCUUUUGGUUGUAAAGCACUUUAAGCGAGGAGGAGGCUACUUAGAUUAAUACCUAGGAUAGUGGACGUUACUCGCAGAAUAAGCACCGGCUAACUCUGUGCCAGCAGCCGCGGUAAUACAGAGGGUGCGAGCGUUAAUCGGAUUUACUGGGCGUAAAGCGUGCGUAGGCGGCUGAUUAAGUCGGAUGUGAAAUCCCUGAGCUUAACUUAGGAAUUGCAUUCGAUACUGGUCAGCUAGAGUAUGGGAGAGGAUGGUAGAAUUCCAGGUGUAGCGGUGAAAUGCGUAGAGAUCUGGAGGAAUACCGAUGGCGAAGGCAGCCAUCUGGCCUAAUACUGACGCUGAGGUACGAAAGCAUGGGGAGCAAACAGGAUUAGAUACCCUGGUAGUCCAUGCCGUAAACGAUGUCUACUAGCCGUUGGGGCCUUUGAGGCUUUAGUGGCGCAGCUAACGCGAUAAGUAGACCGCCUGGGGAGUACGGUCGCAAGACUAAAACUCAAAUGAAUUGACGGGGGCCCGCACAAGCGGUGGAGCAUGUGGUUUAAUUCGAUGCAACGCGAAGAACCUUACCUGGCCUUGACAUAGUAAGAACUUUCCAGAGAUGGAUUGGUGCCUUCGGGAACUUACAUACAGGUGCUGCAUGGCUGUCGUCAGCUCGUGUCGUGAGAUGUUGGGUUAAGUCCCGCAACGAGCGCAACCCUUUUCCUUAUUUGCCAGCGAGUAAUGUCGGGAACUUUAAGGAUACUGCCAGUGACAAACUGGAGGAAGGCGGGGACGACGUCAAGUCAUCAUGGCCCUUACGGCCAGGGCUACACACGUGCUACAAUGGUCGGUACAAAGGGUUGCUACCUAGCGAUAGGAUGCUAAUCUCAAAAAGCCGAUCGUAGUCCGGAUUGGAGUCUGCAACUCGACUCCAUGAAGUCGGAAUCGCUAGUAAUCGCGGAUCAGAAUGCCGCGGUGAAUACGUUCCCGGGCCUUGUACACACCGCCCGUCACACCAUGGGAGUUUGUUGCACCAGAAGUAGGUAGUCUAACCGCAAGGAGGACGCUUACCACGGUGUGGCCGAUGACUGGGGUGAAGUCGUAACAAGGUAGCCGUAGGGGAACCUGCGGCUGGAUCACCUCCUUU
rnacentral:rRNA from 1 species